AGGAGACCCGUGCUCAGUAGUGAGCUAGCGAUGAGUUGACGAUGAUAAAAAAUAUCACUGUAUGAACGCAGAAUAAAUAAAAUUUCAAGUAUAAAAAAUUGACUUUUCAUCUCACACUUAAAAACGGGAAAUUGAACCUUAUAACUAUGUAGCGUUUAGUCUGUUUUCCGGUACGUGCCUCGUGCCCGCCACGCUUUGAGCAAGUUGUAGCCAAA